CAUCUGUGUCCCUUUGGACACAUUCCCCAUAUAUUUUUUUAGAAGUUACUAUUAAUUAAAAUUGAUUUUAACCAUGACAUUUUAUAUUUUAAAAUUUUAUGAUGUAUUUAAAUGAGUAGUUAUUGUUGCAAACUCCAUUAGAUUGAAUUGAGAUUUGGAAUAAGGGAAAGGGGGAGAUGAAAAAGAAAAAAAAAAUUGGGGGGUGUUCAAUUUUUCAGAUCUCUGAAAUAAAAAGAAAAUUUCUUCAAACAUAUUUUUUUUGACAGGAUAUUCAACAGCAAAGUGAAUUGCUCAAAAGCAAAAAAAAAUGUUUAAGUUCAUUAGACCACAUUCAUUCUGUGUCAGAAACCUAUGCUGUGUCAACUAUUUAAUCACAAUCCAAAUUCUGAGCUGAGUCCAGCUUAAAUGUUGUGUCCAUACUUGCCCCAAGUCAUAUAAAGCUGUGUCCUGCGGAGCAUCUGGUUACUUAUCAUUUGCCUCUUCUGUAUGAAGUGUAAAGUUGUUUAAAGUCAUCAUUUUUAAAUAAGUGGGCUCAAUUCUGUCAAACUUUACUUGAAUGUUUCUUAGUGCAUCUGGUUUGUAAAUUAUACCUAGUAUUAAAACCAAAAAAAUAAAAUAAAAUCACAAAAAUACUGAAAUUAGUGGACAAUCUAAUCGGAAAGUCCAUAAUAACAUGGCAAAAUCAAAUAACAAAACACAUCAAAAACGAAUGGACAAGAACUGUCAUAUUUCUGACUUGGUACAGGCAUUUUCAAAUGCAGAAAAUGGUGGAUUAAAGAUAAGAUAAGAUAAGAUAAGAUAAAUAAUAGUUUAUUAAAGUGUCACAUAUUGAUCUACAUUAAAAUACAUAAAAACGUUAACAUCAUAAAAAAAAAGGAUCAAUACCCAGCCUAUAAAGACUUACGAGACACUGUAUAUACAAAUAAAAGCUAUAACAGUUAUACUGAAGGAAAAUGUUUUUUAUAAAAAGGCAUAGUCAUGCAUUACAUGAUUUAAAACUCAUUAAAUAUGUACACACAAUUAUAAAAUAUCUAUUCAUGAAUGCUUCAAAAUAAUAAUAUAGAAC
rnacentral:lncRNA from 1 species